rnacentral:rRNA from 1 species
CUGUAACGAUAAACAAGGUGAAAAACCUUGUCGCCGUAAACCCAAGGUUUCCUGAGCAAUGGUAAUCAUCUCAGGGUUAGUCGGCCCCUAAGGCGAGGCUGAAAAGCGUAGUCGAUGGGAAACAGGUCAUAUAUUCCUGUACUGCCGGUAUGGCGUUUGAGCUAUGGGGUGACGCAGAGGUGGAAGCGGGGCGGACUGUUGGUGUCCGUUCAAGCCGGUAGGUCGUUUGGAGUCUCAUAGGCAAAUCCGUGAGGCGAGACUGAAAGGUGAUGAAGAGGCCGUCGUCAGACGGAGGAAUCCCGUGGAAACGUACUGCCAAGAAAAACCUCUAUGUGAGUCAUGCAGGUAACCGUACCGUAAACCGACACAGGUGGGUGGGAAGAGUAUUCCAAGGCGCUCGAGAUAACCCACGUUAAGGAACUCGGCAAAAUGUGCCUGUAACUUCGGGAGAAGGGCAACCUGACGUGUUGCAUGCGUAACAGUGUGUGGCGUGUCAGGUCUCAGUAAAACGGCUCAAGCGACUGUUUAACAAAAACACAGGUCUCUGCGAAGUCGCAAGACGAUGUAUAGGGACUGACACCUGCCCGGUGCUGGAAGGUCAAGGGGAGGGGUUAGCACUUGAUGCGAAGCUCCGAAUUGAAGCCCCAGUAAACGGCGGCCGUAACGAUAACGGUCCUAAGGUAGCGAAAUUCCUUGUCGGGUAAGUUCCGACCUGCACGAAUGGUGUAACGAUUUGAGCGCUGUCUCAACGUGGGACUCGGUGAAAUUUAAUUCGCGGUGAAGAUGCCGUGUACCCGUAUCAAGACGGAAAGACCCCGUGAACCUUUACUGUAGCUUGGCAUGGGGUUUUGAUACGACAUGUGUAGGAUAGGUGGGAGGCAUUGAAGCCGGGACGCCAGUCUCGGUGGAGCCAACCUUGAAAUACCACCCUUGCCGUAUCGAAAUUCUAACCCUGUCCGUGAAACCGGGCCGGGGACAAUGCCAGGUGGGCAGUUUGACUGGGGCGGUCGCCUCCUAAAAUGUAACGGAGGUGCGCAAAGGUCCUCUCAGCACGGUCGGAAAUCGUGCGUAAGAGUGUAAAGGCAGAAGAGGGCUUGACUGCGAGACAUACAGGUCGAGCAGAUGCGAAAGCAGGUCUUAGUGAUCCGGCGGUAGCUUGUGGAAGUGCCGUCGCUCAACGGAUAAAAGGUACUCCGGGGAUAACAGGCUUAUCUCCCCCAAGAGUUCACAUCGACGGGGAGGUUUGGCACCUCGAUGUCGGCUCAUCGCAUCCUGGGGCUGGAGCAGGUCCCAAGGGUUUGGCUGUUCGCCAAUUAAAGCGGUACGCGAGCUGGGUUCAGAACGUCGUGAGACAGUUCGGUCCCUAUCUGCUACGGGCGUUGGAUAUUUGAGAGGAGCUGCUUCUAGUACGAGAGGACCGAAGUGGACGUACCGCUGGUCUACCGGUUGUCACGCCAGUGGCAUUGCCGGGUAGCCAUGUACGGAAGGGAUAACCGCUGAAAGCAUCUAAGUGGGAAGCCCACCUCAAGACAAGAUAUCCCCGCAUGCUCGACAUGCCUGAAGGCUCCUGGGAGACGACCAGGUCGAUAGGCUGCAGGUGUACGCACAGUAAUGUGUUCAGCCGAGCAGUACUAAUCAGCCGUGAGGCUUGACCAU